GACGAACGCUGGCGGCGUGCUUAACACAUGCCAGUCGAACGGAAAGGCCCUGCUUUUGUGGGGUGCUCGAGUGGCGAACGGGUGAGUAACACGUGAGUAACCUGCCCUUGACUUUGGGAUAACUUCAGGAAACUGGGGCUAAUACCGGAUAGGAGCUCCUGCUGCAUGGUGGGGGUUGGAAAGUUUCGGCGGUUGGGGAUGGACUCGCGGCUUAUCAGCUUGUUGGUGGGGUAGUGGCUUACCAAGGCUUUGACGGGUAGCCGGCCUGAGAGGGUGACCGGCCACAUUGGGACUGAGAUACGGCCCAGACUCCUACGGGAGGCAGCAGUGGGGAAUAUUGCACAAUGGGCGGAAGCCUGAUGCAGCAACGCCGCGUGCGGGAUGACGGCCUUCGGGUUGUAAACCGCUUUCGCCUGUGACGAAGCAUGAGUGACGGUAAUGGGUAAAGAAGCACCGGCUAACUACGUG
rnacentral:rRNA from 1 species